rnacentral:tRNA from 1 species
GAGUAUGUAGCUCAGUGGUAGAGCGGGUGUGGAAGUUGAAAGUUCUCAUCGUGCGCAGGUUCGAAUCCUGCCAUACUCUCAA